rnacentral:tmRNA from 1 species
GGGGCUGACCGGAAUUGACGGCAGGAAUUGGGUAUAUACCCGCAGGCCGAGUGUUGUGCGUUACACUCGUAAAUCCCAAUGCAUAAUCUUUAUUUUAAAUGGCGAGAAUAACUUUGCCAUGGCUGCCUAAUCUAAGAGAUUAGUAAGCCUUUGUCCACUCUUUUGACAUCCGAUAAGAAGUUUUGGGCAUCAUAAUAUCGGGUCCUUUUAAGCAGAAGUUUGUUCAGCUGCUGUUAUAAAUUGUAAUAAAUUGAACUAGAAAAACAAUGGCUUUGUAAAGUGUGUAGUUGUUUUUUGAAAUUUUACAUUUUACUAAGCUUGUAGAAAGUAUAUGUACAACUUGACCGGACCAGGGUUCGAAUCCCUGCAGCUCCACUU